rnacentral:lncRNA from 1 species
CCCAUGUAGAUUGACUCGUAUUAUUAUAACCACAUUAACUACUCUCUCUCUGAUAUUCGCCUCCUCUCAAAAUAAAAAUGGCCGAUCAGCUCCCUGAUGACCAGAUCUUCGAGUUCAAGGAAGCUUUCAGCUUCUCUGCGACUGUCUCUUCUCUUAUAUCUCUUUUUAGUUCGUAGUCUCUUUCUUUUUCUCUGAUACGUUGAGUUCCGAGUUCCGAGGUAUUC